UAGGGAAUAUUGGACAAUGGGUGAGAGCCUGAUCCAGCCAUGCCGCGUGCAGGAAGAAGGCGUUAUGCGUUGUAAACUGCUUUUGCCAGGGGAUAAAAAGACCGUGCGCGGUUAAUUGAAGGUACCUGGUGAAUAAGCCACGGCUAACUACGUGCCAGCAGCCGCGGUAAUACGUAGGUGGCAAGCGUUGUCCGGAUUUAUUGGGUUUAAAGGGUGCGUAGGUGGCCCUGUAAGUCAGUGGUGAAAUAUCUCAGCUUAACUGAGAGGGUGCCAUUGAUACUGCAGGGCUUGAGUACAGAUGAGGUAGGCGGAAUUGACGGUGUAGCGGUGAAAUGCAUAGAUAUCGUCAAGAACACCGAUAGCGAAGGCAGCUUACCAAGCUGUAACUGACACUGAGGCACGAAAGUGUGGGGAUCAAACAGGAUUAGAUACCCAGGUAGUCCCUGAGCGGGCUGGCAAGGCGCAU
rnacentral:rRNA from 1 species